GCCUUCGUAGUGUAAUGGUCAGCAUGCUGGGCGCUUAUUCCAGGGGUCCGUGGUUCGAGUCCCGUAGGAGGCA
rnacentral:tRNA from 1 species